rnacentral:lncRNA from 1 species
CUGCCAAAGUGGAUUUGUGCGUCUACUUUUCAUACUACCUUGGGGCUUAGAACCUGGCGCCCUAUCUCGAUCAUCAUUUCUUAACUUCGUUACUAGCGCACUAGCUGAAUAUGGAGCUGGGGCUAAAGAUUUCUAAUAGAACUAAAGAUGGUUACCACCCUCUGACCUCGGCUGAGCAAAACUGAAGCUACUUGUUUUGGCUCUCUCACUCUCUCUCUCUCUCUCUCUCUUUCCUUACAACUUUGCUCCUCAAUCUGUUGAGCAUGGACCAUCAACCUAGACAAGUCUAUUUUUUUAAUCAGCAUCGCGGUCCUACACUCUUUGACCACGCUAUCAGCCACACUAGAGAUAAACUUACUUAUCCUAAACCUAUAAUCAAACACCACAUUAGAAGCAUACACCACAUUAGAAGCAUACUUGGAUAGCCAAGUAAACUUAAGAGAAUACUCUUUCACACUCAUGUUCCCCCACCUCAAAUUGACAAACUCCUGAACUUUAGCUUUCUUUAAUUCCAAGGGAAAGAAGGUUGUAGCAAACUCUUCCAAUUUAAUAGGCCAUGCAUCGGCCCCUCUCUCUCUCUUUCACUGCUUAUACCACUACUUAUACCAGGUGUGAGUAAUAUCCUACAAUUGGUAAGCACACAACACUGCACACUCACUAAAAGACACACUCAUAAUGUCAGUUACCUUUUAAACCAUGUCAAGGAACUCCUGCGGAUCCUCAUCAGACUUGGAUCCCAAAAAUAAAGGAGGGUUAUUUGGGUGAAGUCUCAAAUCCUAGCUGCGAAAGUAUUAGCCACUGGAACGGUUAGGACAGUAGCCUACUGAUUAUUCUGGGCUGCUACUGAAUGAGCUAAGGUAGUGAAUACAGCUCUAAAUUCGGCAUAAGAGACAUACUCGCUCAGGGGAUCUUCCUGAACAGGCAAAGGUGCGGGUUGAUUCUCAUUUCUCCUUUUGUUACUCUUUCUGGGAGGCAUGGUCUGUAAACGAAAAGAAGAUUGAAUUAGAAAUAGAGCUUAAAUUGAGCUCAUGCUCUUUCGCAUAACAAGAAUACUGAAAGAAGGGAAACUUUUUCC